GGAAUUAUAGUUUAAUUGGUUAAAAUUUUAUCUUGUCAUGAUAAUAGAUGUGAGUUCAAAUCUCAUUAAUUCCG
rfam:Toxoplasma gondii VEG unlocalized apicoplast scaffold scaffold00504, whole genome shotgun sequence.